GCACACUUCUCGGUUAGUGCUCGAACUGAUAUUGAUUUUUGACCGUACAACGAGAAUACGUGAAUAUCCCGGAAAAUGAUUUCAAUGAUCGAUAUUAAAAUAUUAUACUAUAUUGGUAUAUAUAUGCAAACUGAUGUAAUUUCCGCAACAGCGUGAUUACGUAUGGCGAAGGGUGAAUGUAACGGAGUUGGAUGUGUUUCACUGAAUUCCCAGACAGGGGUGUGACAUGGGUUGUUCCGGCGACACCUAUGCUGCUCCUACCUAUGUUUUGCUGUAUUAAACUGGUGCCGAAGAAGUAGGCAGGACGUCGAAAGCAUGUCUAUGAUCGAAAGGGCUUAUUUUCGAUCCAUUAAGUGAAGUAAACUAUUCAGAUUUGGCUCUAACACGAUGGGUUACACGACAUCACUGAAAAUCUGUGUUAUUCUGUCGAUGUGUUGGGAUUUGUAAGUUGAAAGUUUGCAAGACUGGCAUUCCCUGCAGGAACAGCGGACAGAUCCACCAAUGAUGAUUUUUUUUCUAAAGAUGCCAAAUCUUCAGAUACAUUCAAUUUGACCUGUAUGGUCACAGGCCUCUACUCAAAAAACACUAAGAUCAGAAUCCUGUGGAAGGACUGGCCUGUAGGGAAAGGUCAUGAAAGAUUGCCCAAUCAUGAUGGAACCUACGGGAUCAAACUGAGUGCGUACGCACACAAAUCAAAGAUAAAUGAUUAUCGAUGUGAGGUGAAUCACGGGGACCAGAAAUACACACUUGUAGUCGAAUGGCCUAAAGAAUUAGAUCUGGACAAGACAAUACAAGAAUUUGGAGAUUCUCAAAAGUCUGAUGGAUAUCCCCCCUCGAUUGGAAAGUGGUUUGCAUGUGUGCUGCUGGCGCUGGGCCUGGUGCUGGGGCUCGUGGUGCUCUUGGGAUACAUUUGUGUGAUACAUUUUGUGUGAAAAGAUUACUGAGAAGGAAGAUACAGAUUCUGACUCUGGAUGUAGUGAAGAAGGCAGCCGUUCCAUAGGGAAGAAUCCCCUACAUUUUGGUAUGUAUUGAGUGUUAUGUACACAAAUCUAAAACGUGAGCCAGAAGGAGAAGUAUAGUCCUACAUCAUAAUUUGUCGUAAUACAUCCAUUAGUGGUUAUUAGACUCUUCUUUCCUUUUGUAAGGAAACUGGACAAUAAUAGCACGCUGUCCAACUAUUGGUUUGAAGAGGAUUAAAGCAGCAUAACGGAACAAUUGCUAAUCGCUAACGAGAUGCUAGCGCCUAAAACUAGCGAAACCUCUUGAAAUGUGCUUACUUUGACACUAUGACAAACUGGUUAGUCAACAACUGUCCUAACACAGUCAAACAUGAAGCAAGUGCAACACAAGACAAAGCAAGACGGCAAAUAAGCUACUUAGUUCGGCAGACAGUAGAAACCGGGCGGCUUCAGCCACAUAACCCAGUAAUAUGCCUAAGGACCCUGGUAUGGCAACGGCACGGAAGCGAUUCUCCAUACUAAAAGUCAUUGUAGCGCCCCAAUUUUUUUAAGCUGUUAUUUUAAGGUAAAACUGCUUAUCCUAACCCUAACCCUGAAGUACAAUUACUGCAUAAUGCCACAUUAAAGCUGUAUGAAUAUCUGCAGAUGUUAUUUUUUUUCAUCUGUAAAUUAUGGUGUUUUAAGGCUGGGCACACACAAGGCUGGGCACACACAAGGCAGGGCGUGAGGAGUCUGAAACGAGAGGAGAGAUGAGUAAACAACAGAACUGAAGAAUAAAUGAUAAAAUUAGGAAAACUUAUCUAGUAAGCAGGUGCCCAGUGACAAACCUAUCAACCAAAUCAGUGGAAUGGAUGAAAUGUACUUUCUUCCCAAGGAAGACCAAGAAUGCCCCUACAGGCUAUUGUUCUGAAUGCUCUUAAUAGCAAAUCUUACAAAUAGGUCAGAUUAUUAAAUAGCAUCUGUUACAAACUAGAUAUGACAAUAAUCUUGAUUUGGUGUCUUGAACCAAAGCUGGGGAGUUGGUUACAUGUAACGACAUUACAAAAUCAAUGUAAUUAUAAUGCGUUCCAGUUAUAGAGAGAAAAAAAUAUGUAAUUGAAUUACAGUUACUAAUCAAGAUGUUGGUGAUUACAAAGGGGUCACAUCAAAACACAUUCCUUUCGGUAAAAAGUUUUAAAGCCUAUAUGUAGACUAUAAGAUUCAUUCUAGAACAUAUAAUAUUCAAUAUAACCAGAUGCAAAGCAUCUUUUUCACUAUCUAGACAGGCUCCAUUCAUUUGGCAGUAUGUGCUCAAAUUUGAGCGUUGUUUUUUAUUGGUUCUCCUGUUUGAAUUUGCACCACCUCUCAUCUGCAAGUUAUCAAAUGUAAUAAAUUACAUUAAUUUAAUUAAUUAAUUAAUUAAAAUUGUUAUAUUACUUAGUACAUUGUUUACAGGGUAACUAGUAGUCUGCAACAUACCACAUUUACAACCCUGGUCUUGAGUGAAGAACUUUCUUACCUUUAUUUUGGAGGGGUGUUUCUUUUGACUUGUCUUUGAAGUUACGGUUUUUACAAGCUAAUGUAUUUACCUGCAGGUGCAAAUAUGGACUAGCAUGGACUUUAGAUUGACAGGCAAAAAUUACUAUUUUUAAGAUGUUUAGGAUGGGUGUGACAGACUUUCCCUGUUUCACUAUAGAUUCUGAGGAAAGAGGUCACUGUAAUAUAUAUAUAAUAAAUAUAGGUGAGGCAUAUUGAUUUGUAUUUUAAUAUGGUAUUGAUCAAUCGGAAAAUGUCCAAAGAGAUGU
ensembl:lncRNA